rnacentral:rRNA from 1 species
AUCAAAUCAAACACACACACACACACAUUUAUAUAUCACAUGUACAUAGCUAAUACAGGGACUACAGAACACACAAAACCACACAUAUACGAACAGGAUACUACACCACGGUUCAGGUUAACAAGAGACAACAUAAACGAAAUCUUACAAGCCACAAGAUUAGUACCCACAGAACAACACAACAGUAUUUAACAACUAAAAAUUACUGGUAGAAAUUAACUAGUACAGCGAGAAGAAAUACACAGGGUGAACACACAUAUAUGCUGACAGAACACAUAUUACCAAAGUAACAAAAUAUUGCAUAUUAUUUAGUUCCCAAAGCAACAAGAAAUCCACUAUUCAGAACAUAGAAUUUAUGACAUGAUAUUUAACAAGUACGAAAUAAGCAAACUAGUUGGUUGCAAACACUUAUCAAAAUCUGAACCUUACAAGUACUACACAUCUCCUAUUACAGAAAAUUCAGAAAGAGAGAUAAGCAGCGGCAAGAUAGAAGAAGAAGGGAAGCGGCAGGAGAUUGAGGAAGGAGCAACAGUAGGUUCGUGGGGGAAGUAGGAGCAGCAAAAGGUUCGGAGAAGAGACAUGGAGCAGCAAGGUAGGCGAAGGGAGCAGGAAGUCGCAAGAAGAAGUAGCAGCAACGUGGGGAUGGAGAGAGGAGAAGGAGGAGCAGGGGCGCAACAAGAAGGGAGCAGCAGCGGGGCUUGGAGAAGAAGCAGUAGAAGCAGAAGCAAGGCAAGGGAAGAAGGAGCAGCAGCAAGGAAACUCUCGCGCGGAGGUGCUCAGUGGUGCGGUGGUGAUGGUGGCGCGGUGAAGCGGGGGAGUGGUGGUGAUGGAUGGCGGCGGUGUGGAGCGUGUGGAGGUGCUGGGUGGCGCGGUGAAGCGGGGAGUGGUGGUGAUGGAUGGCGGCGGUGUGGAGCGUGUGGAGGUGCUGGGUGGCGCGCCGCCACGCCGGCCUGGCCGCGGCGGCGGCCGGAGAUGGAAGAAUAAGUGGUGAGGGAGAGAGAUGGAGAUGCCAUACCCGAUGGGGAUCGGCAGCCGCUAGGGAUUUUGACCCCUCCUCUGAUCUGCCACUUUGCAAUUUUGGCCCUUUUCCUUUUCUUCUUUCUUCACAAGAAGGUCCCUUUCUUCUUUAACUUGUCCCCUGGAGCAUCAUUUCUUCACACACAAGUCCCUUUGUCUUUCUUCUUUC